rnacentral:rRNA from 1 species
UACGUAGGGUGCGAGCGUUGUCCGGAAUUAUUGGGCGUAAAGGGCUCGUAGGCGGUUUGUCGCGUCGGGAGUGAAAACUCAGGGCUUAACCCUGAGCCUGCUUCCGAUACGGGCAGACUAGAGGUAUGCAGGGGAGAACGGAAUUCCUGGUGUAGCGGUGAAAUGCGCAGAUAUCAGGAGGAACACCGGUGGCGAAGGCGGUCUCUGGGCCAUUACUGACACUGGAGAAGCGAAAGCAUGGGGAGCGAACAGG